UACGAAGGGGGCUAGCGUUGCUCGGAAUCACUGGGCGUAAAGGGUGCGUAGGCGGGUCUUUAAGUCAGGGGUGAAAUCCUGGAGCUCAACUCCAGAACUGCCUUUGAUACUGAAGAUCUUGAGUUCGGGAGAGGUGAGUGGAACUGCGAGUGUAGAGGUGAAAUUCGUAGAUAUUCGCAAGAACACCAGUGGCGAAGGCGGCUCACUGGCCCGAUACUGACGCUGAGGCACGAAAGCUAGGGUAGCAAACGGG
rnacentral:rRNA from 1 species